rnacentral:sRNA from 1 species
GAAGAUCUACAGUCCUCGAAGAGCCUGUACAGGAAGAUGCAACACAAGAAACACACAUUUCAUCUCCUGUUGAGUCUCCUUCCCAAAAGACCAAAAGUGAAACCGUCACUGGAGAAUUAUCAAAACUCUUGGAUGAAAUAAAACUCUGUCAAGAAAAGGAUUAUUCGUUUGAAGACUUGUGCCACACAAUAUCAGACCACUACUUAGAUAAUUUGAGCAAGAUUUCAGAGGAAGAACUUGGGAAAAAUGGAAGCCAGAGUGUAGUAAGUAAGGCGGGGGGGAAUGAAGAUAAUGUGUCUGUCUUUGCCAGUUCAGUGUGUACACUUAAGAGGUAUGGGAUGUGGUGCAUUAUCAGAUUCCGCCACUCUAAGAUGUCAGUUUCCUUAUUGCUCUUUUCCUGACGUUCUUUGGGGUUUUACUCGCAGUGCAUGUGUAGGGGAAGGAGUGCUUUGACAGAUCACUUCAUGGUCUCUCU